rnacentral:rRNA from 1 species
AGUGAACGCUGGCGGUAGGCCUAACACAUGCAAGUCGAACGGCAGCACAGUAAGAGCUUGCUCUUACGGGUGGCGAGUGGCGGACGGGUGAGGAAUACAUCGGAAUCUACUUUUUCGUGGGGGAUAACGUAGGGAAACUUACGCUAAUACCGCAUACGACCUACGGGUGAAAGCAGGGGAUCUUCGGACCUUGCGCGAUUGAAUGAGCCGAUGUCGGAUUAGCUAGUUGGCGGGGUAAAGGCCCACCAAGGCGACGAUCCGUAGCUGGUCUGAGAGGAUGAUAAGCCACACUGGAACUGAGACACGGACCAGACUCCUACGGGAGGCAGCAGUGGGGAAUAUUGGACAAUGGGCGCAAGCAUGAUCCAGCCAUACCGCGUGGGUGAAGAAGGCCUUCGGGUUGUAAAGCCCUUUUGUUGGGAAAGAAAAGCAGCAGGUUAAUACCACGCUGUUCUGACGGUACCCAAAGAAUAAGCACCGGCUAACUUCGUG